AGAGCGAACGCUGGCGGCAGGCCUAAUACAUGCAAGUCGAACGGAUCCUUCGGGAUUAGUGGCGGACGGGUGAGUAACACGUGGGAACGUACCCUUUGGUUCGGAACAACUCAGGGAAACUUGAGCUAAUACCGAAUGUGCCCUUCGGGGAAAAGAUUUAUCGCCAUUGGAGCGGCCCGCGUCUGAUUAGCUAGUUGGUAGGGUAAAGGCCUACCAAGGCUACGAUCAGUAGCUGGUCUGAGAGGAUGAUCAGCCACACUGGGACUGAGACACGGCCCAGACUCCUACGGGAGGCAGCAGUAGGGAAUCUUGCGCAAUGGGCGAAAGCCUGACGCAGCCAUGCCGCGUGAAUGAUGAAGGUCUUAGGAUUGUAAAAUUCUUUCAGCGGGGACGAUAAUGACGGUACCCGCAGAAGAGCCCCGGCUAACUUCGUGCCAGCAGCCGC
rnacentral:rRNA from 1 species